AAGGCUUGGUCCUGACUUUUCUAUCAGCUCUGAUUAUACUUAUACAUGCAAGUAUCCGCAUCCCUGUGAGAAUGCCCUUUAACCCCGCCCGGGUAGAAGGAGCAGGUAUCAGGCACGAGAACUCAGCCCAAGACGCCUUGCUUAGCCACACCCUCAAGGGUACUCAGCAGUAAUAGACCUUAAGCCAUAAGUGUAAGCUUGACUUAGUUAAAAUUGUAAGGGCCGGUAAAACUCGUGCCAGCCACCGCGGUUAUACGAGAGGCCCAAGUUGAUAUUUUUCGGCGUAAAGAGUGGUUAAGGACACAACCAAACUAGGAUUAAACGCCCUUGACGCUGUUAUACGCAAUUAAGGGUAGGAAACACAACUACGAAAGUGGUCCUACAACACCUGACCCCACGAAAGCUAUGGUACAAACUGGGAUUAGAUACCCCACUAUGCAUAGCCAUAAACUUUGAUAGUACUUCACAACCACUAUCCGCCCGGGUACUACGAGCACCAGCUUAAAACCCAAAGGACUUGGCGGUGCCCCAGACCCCCCUAGAGGAGCCUGUUCUAGAACCGAUAAUCCCCGUUCAACCUCACCACCUCUUGCCCCCUGCCUAUAUACCGCCGCCGUCAGCUUACCCUGUGAAGGUAAAAUAGUAAGCCAAGUUGGUACAGCCAAAAACGUCAGGUCGAGGUGUAGCGUACGAGGUGGGAAGAAAUGGGCUACAUUCCUUUAUGAUAAGGUAAUACGAAAGGGGUAUUGAAACAUACCCCCUGAAGGAGGAUUUGCAGUAAGCCUGGAAUAAAGUGCCUACGCUGAA
rnacentral:ncRNA from 1 species